GUGUGUGUGUGUGACUCUGUCAUUUUACACAGCGUGGGAAAGUUCUUUGAAAUUUUCCCACGCUGUGUAAAAUGACACAGAGCACUCUG